rnacentral:rRNA from 1 species
AUUGAACGCUGGCGGCAGGCCUAACACAUGCAAGUCGAGCGGAGCGGCGGACGGGUGCGUAAUGCCUAGGAAUCUGCCUGGUAGUGGGGGAUAACGUCCGGAAACGGGCGCGAAUACCGCAUACUAUCAGAUGAGCCUAGGGGGGAUUAGCUAGUUGGUGGGGUAAAGGCCUACCAAGGCGACGAUCCGUAACUGGUCUGAGAGGAUGAUCAGUCACACUGGAACUGGGACACGGUCCAGAGUCCUACGGGAGGCAGCAGUAGGGGAUAUUGCACAAUGGGCGAAAGCCGGCUGCAGCGGUGCCGCGUGGGGGAUGAAGGCUUUCGGGUUGUAAACCUCUUUCGCUAUCGAACGGGUAGGUGGAGAAGAAGCGCCGGCUAACUACGUGCCAGCAGCCGCGGUAAUAC